ACUAGAGAGCUUGCUCAACAAAUUGAGAAGGAGGUUAAGGCUUUUAGCAAAUCUCUCGAGUCAUUUAAAACUGCAAUUGUUGUUGGUGGAACUAAUAUAUCUGACCAGAGGUCUGAGCUCCGUGCUGGAGUUGAUAUAGUUGUUGCUACUCCUGGGAGAUUUAUAGAUCAUUUGUAGCAAGGAAAUAGUUCACUUUCAAGAGUUUCAUUUGUUGUUCUAGAUGAGGCUGAGCUGACAGAAUGCUUGACAUGGGGUUUGAACCUCAGAUAAGAGAGAAAAUCACAUGCCUCAAGAGAUUGACAUUUCUACAUUACAAACAUUAGGCAAUUGGGAUCUUUCUUGAGC